rnacentral:rRNA from 1 species
UACGUAGGGUGCAAGCGUUAAUCGGAAUUACUGGGCGUAAAGCGUGCGCAGGCGGUUUUGUAAGUCAGAUGUGAAAUCCCCGGGCUUAACCUGGGAACUGCGUUUGAAACUACAAGGCUAGAGUGUGGCAGAGGGGGGUGGAAUUCCACGUGUAGCAGUGAAAUGCGUAGAGAUGUGGAGGAACACCGAUGGCGAAGGCGGCGACCUGGGUAGAUACUGACGCUGAGGUGCGAAAGCGUGGGGAGCAAACAGG